CCUACGGGUGGCAGCAGUGAGGAAUAUUGGACAAUGGACGAGAGUCUGAACCAGCCAAGUAGCGUGAAGGAUGACUGCCCUAUGGGUUGUAAACUUCUUUUAUAAAGGAAUAAAACGAGGCACGUGUGCCUUUUUGCAUGUACUUUAUGAAUAAGGAUCGGCUAACUCCGUGCCAGCAGCCGCGGUAAUACGGAGGAUCCGAGCGUUAUCCGGAUUUAUUGGGUUUAAAGGGAGCGUAGGUGGGUUGUUAAGUCAGUUGUGAAAGUUUGCGGCUCAACCGUAAAAUUGCAAUUGAUACUGGCAGUCUUGAGUACAGUUGAGGUAGGCGGAAUUCGUGGUGUAGCGGUGAAAUGCUUAGAUAUCACGAAGAACCCCGAUUGCGAAGGCAGCUUACUAAACUGUGACUGACAUUGAUGCUCGAAAGUGUGGGGAUCAAACAGGAUUAGAUACCCUUGUAGUC
rnacentral:rRNA from 1 species